rnacentral:rRNA from 1 species
UACGUAGGGGGCAAGCGUUGUCCGGAUUUAUUGGGCGUAAAGAGCGCGUAGGCGGCCAGGUAGGUCAGCUGUGAAAACUCGAGGCUCAACCUCGAGACGUCGGUCGAAACUACCUGGCUAGAGUCCGGAAGAGGAGAGUGGAAUUCCUGGUGUAGCGGUGAAAUGCGCAGAUAUCAGGAAGAACACCCGUGGCGAAGGCGGCUCUCUGGGACGCUACUGACGCUGAGACGCGAAAGCGUGGGGAGCGAACAGG